rnacentral:tRNA from 1 species
AGAAGUUUAGGUUAAUCCCUAGACCAAGAGCCUUCAAAGCUCUAAGCAAAUAUCGAAUAUUUAACUUCUG